GUCUGCCUAGUAUAGUGGUAAGUACACCACGUUGUGGCCGUGGAAACCCAUGUUCGAUUCAUGGGGCAGACA